rnacentral:tRNA from 1 species
GAGGUGUUAAUUUCAGCUUCUAACUGAUCACCAAUAGUUAUACACUAUACACCUCU